rnacentral:sRNA from 1 species
UUUCGGUGGCGGCAAUCUGUGGUGGUGUUAUUGAGUGUCUCGACAGCCUUCUUUGAUUUUGUAUGAUCAUUUACAUCGGCAGAAUCAACGGUAGUACUCUCGGUAAGAAUAGUCUCGGUAACAAUUAAACAGUCGCUGCAUAUUACAGAAUAUCUCCCCUAGAAAUUCUAGAAGCUAGAUUAUUACUCUAUGAUCACAUAAAUCCGUAUUGAAGUGAGAUGGUGCUUCCUCUCAUACAACCGCUGCUGGCUUCCCGCCGUCUCUACCUUUCAGCUCACUGGUGCCUAUCGCCCAAGAC